rnacentral:rRNA from 1 species
CCCUUAGAUGUUCUGGGCUGCACGCGUGCUACACUGAUAUUGCCAAUAUGUCAUUCUUAUCCGAAAUGGAUUGGGUAAUCAAGUAAUGAAAUUUCAUGCUUGGAAUCGGUAAUUGCAAUUUUAUCGUGGACGAGGAAUUCCUAGUAAGCGUGAGUCAUCAGCUCGCGUUGAUUACGUCCCUGCCCUUUGUACACACCGCCCGUCGCUACUACCGAUUGAAUGGCUUAGUGAGCCUUUGGGAUUGGCAGCUUGUACCGGCAACGGUAGCAGGCCGCUGAAAACUUAGGCAAACUUGGUCAUUUAGAGGAAGUAAAAGUCGUAACA